CAAAUAAAGCCACGAAGACUACCUACGGACGAAAUUUAUCGGAAUAUGCUAAUGGAAGUUGAGAUGGUCGUAAAUUCUAGGCCAUUGACAUACGUUUCAGCCGACAAUGAAUCAGCACCAGCUCUAACACCAAACCAUUUCCUCUUGGGAACAUCGAAUGGCGUUAAACCCUUCAUCCUAUUCGACGACGGCGCAGAUACCUUACGCAAAACCUGGAAAAUGUCUCAAGUUUACGCAAAUAUCUUUUGGAAACGUUGGUUAACGGAAUAUCUUCCCAGCAUCACGCGUAGAACUAAAUGGUUCCAGCCGGUAAAACCUAUUAAGACGGGAGACAUCGUAGUCAUCGUGGACCCCGCAUUACCAAGGAACUGCUGGCCCAAAGGUCGUGUGGUUUCCAUUUCCCAAUCGAAGGACGGGCAGGUACGAAGUGCUACAAUCCAAACAUCCGGAGGGUUGAUGGAACGGCCCGCUGUAAAGAUUGCAGUUCUGGACGUUGGACCAACAUAGAGUAGGCUGCCUCCACGACAGCAUACUGGGGGGGAGUGUUACUACAAAGCCCCUCGUCCACAAUUAAUCUUCUUUACCCGUACCGUACAAGUAAACUAAACGUCAGCCAAUAGGCAAUGACUCAUGAGAAUGUCAAAUCAAAGAAUUAUAAAAACGGUCUUAGCUUACGUCUUAGAAUCUAGUGAUCGAUGGUGUUAAAACGGUAAAUUUACUACUAAACUUAAAACUAUUGAAAUAUUAUACUACAUCUAACUUAUAGGCUACAAGUAAACUAAAAUCUAGUGGUAUUUAAAGACGGUAUUUAAAGGUGAUUUAAAGAUAUUUCGAUAUUGAAUUGAGGUAUUAAAUAGCGGACUGUAUUAUUUCUAAUCGCCCUUAAUAUACUUGGUCUAGCCUAGAACACGACCAGAUUAGAGUGGCUAAUACGUGGAGUAAACUACCAAGGAGGAAACAAUUAGAAGCCUAAGAGGGCACUAAACGUAAGAAUUUACCUAUUCAACUAAAUACUAACUAAUGUAAAUCUAAAAUUUUAGGGAUUUUAUAAUCCUCGUAGAAUAAAGAUUAUAAAAUCGGAAAGGCCGUGGUUUCUCUGCAACAGCGCAUGUAAAGUAUAU